CAAUGUAAAAAGAAGUAUUUAACAAUCACAUCAGGGAAAAAAAAAAUCAAGCAAGUACUAUGACUACAGGGAAGUAUGCACAGAAAUAAAGCCCAACCUCAUUGCUCAUGUAACGAUGGAGAGUGGAAAAUGCACUUUACCAUCCCCAGACAUUGACAGAAGGAAGAGGUUUAAGGUUAAGUUAUUACCAGCUUUCCUACCUCCCAGAUUCAGUGAACUUUGUGAAUUCCUGCAUCUCAAGUCCCAUGUUUACCUGGACUACAAGCAAUCCUGUUGCAGAUGAUAAUAUCCACCCCCAAAAGCUACAAUUAGCAACUGAAGGAAGCAAGCUGAGUUGCUUUUCAGUUAAAUCAAAAAUCAAUUUAAAAGAAAAAUAAAAAUCUAAAGUAGUGGACAAACAUCCAAUUGUUACAUGGUAAAUUAGAAAGUAAAUACCAUCAUGGAGGAAAUUAAUUAAACAAGUUUAAGACUCACAUUAUUUACAACUUAGGCAUUUUAUACUUUCUGUCCCAGAGGCAUUGUAAGAAGAAGCAAUCCUACUCCCUCUUAACAGGCGUUAAUGCAAGAUCACACAAAGUCAGGGCAAAACCUACAGUUUUAUUAUGAACGCAUUUCUAGUUAUACACAAAUGCUAUCAAAUGGACAUUUUGGGGGCUUUUUUUGCCUCUAUUUUCUCAAGUAAAAGAAUAAACUAUAACAGUAGAUCAGUUUUCACAUUCAUACGCAACUACUUAAUAAUAGAAGAGCUGAACCUGAAAAAAGCUUACACAUUUCUUAUUUCAGGCAGAAAAGAAAAAAAGGCUGAUGAUAAGCUUCCAUUUAAAAAUUAAAUCAAGCAAAUGUUAGUUAGUUUCAGGGGUUCUAAGAAUACAAUAUUAAAUCUAUUUUUAACAUUUUACACUUAUUACAUGCCUCUAAAAACGCUUAGGCUGUGACUAGAAUUGAUGAGUUACUGUUUUUAUUUCUUACAGCACAUGCUCUGAGAUCCACGUGCCAUGAACUCUGCAGAGCAAGGGCAGGAAACAGAUUUAGUGAGGAUGUGAUGAACCAACUACUCUCUCUGGGCUAACAGACAGACUGAUGGUACAACUAGGGAAGACAUUGAUGUCAGGCUACCGAAGAGUAUAGCUGCAAACUGGAAGAAAAAUUCAAGCUGGUACAAAGACAUUAGAGGUGGUUGGCUUGUGCUCAGCUGGGUUUGCAGGCACGGCACCACAUCAGUGCAGCAUACAGCUUCCAAGGACAUGUCUGGUCUGCAAGCAGGCCAACUGCCUUCUUGCACUGCAAAGCCAAUAAAUAUGAAGGAGAAU